UACGUAGGGUGCGAGCGUUAAUCGGAAUUACUGGGCGUAAAGCGUGCGCAGGCGGUGAUGUAAGACAGUUGUGAAAUCCCCGGGCUCAACCUGGGAACUGCAUCUGUGACUGCAUCGCUGGAGUGCGGCAGAGGGGGAUGGAAUUCCGCGUGUAGCAGUGAAAUGCGUAGAUAUGCGGAGGAACACCGAUGGCGAAGGCAAUCCCCUGGGCCUGCACUGACGCUCAUGCACGAAAGCGUGGGGAGCAA
rnacentral:rRNA from 1 species